CUUUGGCCAUGUCUGCUUCUGGCGAAACAGCAAUUUUCAAGACCAGGAAAAUCAAAAUCUCCAGUGGCUUUGUGACCUAAAUUUAUAGUACACUGAGAAGCUCUCUUCCCUACAUUUGGGUUACAGUAUUCAGGAAAGCACAGAUAGAAACUCAGAAAGAUCGACGUGCCCAGAAAAUCAGUGUUCUGAAAGGCCACUUGUCGAGUGGCAUUUCUAGUUUGCUCCCUGAAUUUUCAGAAGAGACUACUGAAUUAACUAAUAAAAGAGAAUGAAUCAUUCAGAGGGAAUGAUCAGUUCUACCAAAGUCCAGGCAUCCAGCAAAGAGGAAACCAAGCUAAUUGGAAAAUAAAUUGGCAAAAUUCUGAA
ensembl:lncRNA